UGGGUACAAGAUGAGAAUAGGUGUGGCUC
rnacentral:piRNA from 1 species